UACGGAGGGUGCAAGCGUUAUCCGGAUUUACUGGGUUUAAAGGGUGCGUAGGUGGGUAAGUAAGUCAGUGGUGAAAUCUCCGAGCUUAACUCGGAAACUGCCAUUGAUACUAUAGGUCUUGAAUUAUCUGGAGGUAAGCGGAAUAUGUCAUGUAGCGGUGAAAUGCUUAGAUAUGACAUAGAACACCAAUUGCGAAGGCAGCUUACUACGGAUAUAUUGACACUGAGGCACGAAAGCGUGGGGAUCAAACAGG
rnacentral:rRNA from 1 species